AUCUAAAUAGCUUAAAUUAAAGCGAAGGAUUGUAAAUCCUGUGUUGGUUUACCCUUUAGACA
rnacentral:tRNA from 1 species